rnacentral:rRNA from 1 species
GACGGGGGAUGCGAGCGUUAUCCGGAAUGAUUGGGCGUAAAGGGUCCGCAGGUGGCCCGGUCAGUCCGCUGUCAAAGCCUGGGGCUCAACCCUGGAGAGGCGGCGGAGACCACCGGGCUUGAGUCCGGUAGGGGCAGAGGGAAUUCCCGGUGGAGCGGUGAAAUGCGUAGAGAUCAGGCGGAACACCUGGGGCGAAGGCGGCCAGCUGGGCCGUCCCUGACGCUGAGGCGCGAAGGCGUGGGGAGCGAACGGG